GGGAGGCAAAGUCAGUAUCAUACAGGCCUAUAAUCUCUGCUUUGACCAGCCUGUCAAAUAUUUAUCUCCAAGGCUAUGAUUAUUAUCAUUGGCUAUUUCUGCUAUUUGUUUCCCAUAUCUGCUACAGAUGUCUAUGGCAUGUGUUUAGCUCUUGCUGGGAAGCUCUUGCUUGCAGCUCCACACAUUUCAGAUGCAGCCUCCCCAGUGACGUGAGGAGCUCCGUGCACAUCUUCCUUCAGAUGCCGAACCCACAGACCAACCCACCGCCCCAGCGAUCUUUGAACCAAGCCCAUCCCUUCAGGGUUUGCACAAACACGUGUGCACAAGUGGGCAGAGAAGCCCAGGGGGAGCGAAUGUCUCCCUUCACACACGCUCAGCUCAGAAGGGGAUGACAGAGGCCUGCGUCACUGCCGGAAGCGAGCAGCGGACCACAACAAACAGUGCGGUCUGGCAUCCCGUUGGAGGUCUUGUGACUGCCAUCUUCCCCACAAGACAAGAGUCCCCUCUUUGUGUGUCUGCCCCGUGCUGCUGUGGGGGUCUAAGGCCUGAUUCAAAGUGCGCAACACAAGCGUGAAAUACAAGCAAGAGCUGGCUGCAAUCCAGGGAUUCAUCUCGCUGCUGUCUCAGCUGUGCCAGUUGGAGUUAGUUACAGAGGAGGAGCUGCAGAACUGCCACAAGAACGGAAGGGGCUGGAAACAUCAUCUGUGGCCCACAGCAUAUGGUGUACACAUGACUUGAAUGCAGCAAAAUAGCUCAUUGCUUCACACAAACCAGUCGAGCAUUCCUGUAGCUCUGGCAGUAGCUCCCUCAGUCACCAUGAGCUUGGAGAUGCAACCACCUGCAGCUCUUCCUUACCAGAGGAAGGAGUGGGGAAAAGGGGCCGGACUCAAAGGGACAAAUAGCAAAAGAAAAAGACAAACUUGCCAUGCAGAGCUGGACAUAGCAGAUCACUACGAAGCAUGUGGGGAAAUCAUUUGUGUCCCUUCCUCACCAGUUCACAAUGCCAAAAACCUCAGAUGAUGUAAAUUAUCCCUUCCCCUCCGACUUCAGUGGCAUUGUGCCAGCUCCCAGCAGCUGAGGAUGUGACACAACCAUUUCUGUGCUCUGUAAACGUUGACAAAG
rnacentral:lncRNA from 1 species